rnacentral:rRNA from 1 species
GACGAACGCUGGCGGCGUGCUUAACACAUGCAAGUCGAACGGAAAGGCCCUGCUUUUGUGGGGUGCUCGAUUGGCGAACGGGUGAGUAACACGUGAGUAACCUGCCCUUGACUUUGGGAUAACUUCAGGAAACUGGGGCUAAUACCGGAUAGGAGCUCCUGCUGCAUGGGGGGGGUUGGAAAGUUUCGGCGGUGGGGGCUGGACUCGCGGCUUAUCAGCUUGUUGGUGGGGUAGUGGCUUACCAAGGCUUUGACGGGUAGCCGGCCUGGGAGGGUGACCGGCCACAUUGGGACUGAGAGACGGCCCAGACGCCUACGGGACGCAGCAGUGGGGAAUAUGGCACAAUGGGCGGAAGCCUGAUGCAGCAACGCCGCGUGCGGAAUGACGGCCUUCGGGUUGUAAACCGCUUUCGCCUGUGACGAAGCGUGAGUGACGGUAAUGGGUAAAGAAGCACCGGCUAACUACGUG